rnacentral:rRNA from 1 species
AGCUUGUUGGUGAGGUAACGGCUCACCAAGGCGACGACAGGUACCAGGCGUGAGAGCGUGGCCUGGCACAUCGGGACUGAGACACUGCCCGGACGUCUACGGAUGGCUGCAGCAACGAAUAUUCCGCAAUGGACGAAAGUCUGACGGAGCGACGCCGCGUGUAGGACGAAGCACUUCGGUGUGUAAACUACUGUCAGGGAUUAGGAAGAAAGUGACCAAUCCCAAAGGAAGCCUCGGCUAACUCCGUGCCAGCCGCGGUAAUACGGAGGAGGCAAGCGUUGUUCGGAAUCAUUGGGCUUAAAGCGUGUGCAGGCGGAAUGGAAGGUGCUUCAGUGAAAGCCCUCGGCUCAACCGAGGAAUUACUGGGCAAACCAUCAUUCUUGAGGCCAGUAGGGGUACCUGGAACUUUGGGUGGAGCGGUGAAAUGCGUAGAUAUCCAAGGGAACGCCGAUGGCGAAAGCGGGGUACUGGGCUGGUUCUGACGCUGAGACACGAAAGCGUGGGUAGCAAACAGGAUUAGAUACCCUGGUAGUCCACGCCGUAAACGAUGCGCACUAGGUAUCAGAAUCUCUGACGGAUAUUGGUGCCGUAGCAAAAGCGAUAAGUGCGCCGCCUGGGGAGUACGGCCGCAAGGUUAAAACUCAAAGGAAUUGACGGGGGCUCACACAAGCGGUGGAGCAUGUGGAUUAAUUCGACGCGAAGAACCUUACCUGGGUUUGACAUGCUAGGAUGCACCCGUGAAAGCGGGCUAUGCUGCUUUUAGUGAAACUAGCACAGGUGCUGCAUGGCUGUCGUCAGCUCGUGCUGUGAAGUGUCGGGUUAAGUCCCUUAACGAGCGGAACCCUUAUCGUUAGUUGCCAGCGGGUAAUGCCGGGGACUCUAGCGAGACUGCCGGCGCUAAGCCGGAGGAAGGUGGGGACGACGUCAAGUCAUCAUGGCCUUUAUGCCCAGGGUGUCACACGUGCUACAAUGGUGGCGACAGAGCGAAGCAAGACCGUGAGGUGGAGCAAAUCGCAGAAACGUCAUCUCAGUUCGGAUUGGAGUCUGCAACCCGACUCCAUGAAGGUGGAAUCGCUAGUAAUCGCGUAUCAGCCAUGACGCGGUGAAUAUGUUCCUGAGCCUUGUACACACCGCCCGUCAAGUCAUGGAAGCUGGGAGUACCCGAAGUCCGCUUAGCGAACCUGCAAGGGAAGCGGCGGCCGACGGUAAGCCCGGUAACUGGGACUAAGUCGGAGCAAGGUAGCCGUAGGGGAACCUGCGGCUG